rnacentral:rRNA from 1 species
AGCGAACGCUGGCGGCAGGCCUAACACAUGCAAGUCGAACGAAGUCUUCGGACUUAGUGGCGGACGGGUGAGUAACACGUGGGAACGUGCCUUUAGGUUCGGAAUAACUCCGGGAAAAGUGUGCUAAUACCGAAUGUGCCCUUCGGGGGAAAGAUUUAUCGCCUUUAGAGCGGCCCGCGUCUUAUUAGCUAGUUGGUGAGGUAAAGGCUCACCAAGGCUACGAUCAGUAGCUGGUCUGAGAGGAUGACCAGCCACAUUGGGACUGAGACACGGCCCAAACUCCUACGGGAGGCAGCAGUGGGGAAUCUUGCGCAAUGGGCGAAAGCCUGACGCAGCCAUGCCGCGUGGAUGAUGAAGGUCUUAGGAUUGUAAAAUCCUUUCACCGGUGAAGAUAAUGACUGUAGCCGGAGAAGAAGCCCCGGCUAACUUCGUGCCAGCAGCCGCGUAACAC